UGGUCUGGAUCGGCGGGAUCGUCGACAGGCUGUUCGGAACAUCCGCCGCGGUCACUAUCCUGACCGGACAACUGCUGAUCGCGAUCGGAUUGGUUUACUUCUAUCGCACGCUUCUGCUGACCACGACUCGAGACAACGCCCUGCUCUUUACCUUUCUGUACGGUACAUCGUCGUACACGAUCUUCGCGCCUCUCUCCUUUGCGCUCAACGCCGAUAUCCUUCAGCUCACAUC
rnacentral:misc_RNA from 1 species